CGUGUAGGCGGCAGGACAAGUCAGAUGUGAAAGCCCCCCGGCUUAACCGGGGAGGUGCAUUUGAAACUGUUUUGCUUGAGUGCGAGAGGGGGUAGUGGAAUUCCCAGUGUAGCGGUGAAAUGCGUAGAUAUUGGGAAGAACACCAGUAGCGAAGGCGGCUACCUGGCUCGCAACUGACGCUAAGGCGCGAAAGCGUGGGGAGCAAACA
rnacentral:rRNA from 1 species